UCUUGGUCAUUUAGAGGAAGUAAAAGUCGUAACAAGGUUUCCGUAGGUGAACCUGCGGAAGGAUCAUUACCGAAUUGUCAACACGAGUUGUUGCUGGUCCUCAAACGGGGACAUGUGCACGCUCUGUUUGCACAUCCACUCACACCUGUGCACCCUCCAUAGUUCUGCAGCCUGGGGGCUCUGUGUUGUCCCCCUGCCGUGGUUCUAUGUAUUUACACACACACACAGUGUAAUAAUGUCUCAUGGAAUGCAUACCGCGUUUAACGCAAUACAAUACAACUUUCCACAAGGGAUCUCUUGUCUCUCGCAUCUAUGAAGAACGCAGAGAAAUGAGAUAUGUAGUGAAAAUUGCAGAACUCAGUGAAUCAUCAAAUCUUUGAACGCCCCGUGCGCCCUUUGUAUAUUCAGAAGGGCAUGCCUGUUAGAAUAUCAUUCUCACCUCAACUCUCAUGGCUUCCCAUGAUGAGCUUGGACUGUGGGGGUUUUGGUGGCUUACGGUCAGCUCCUCUCAAAUGAAUCAGCUUGCCAGUGUUUGGUGGCGUCACAGGUGUGAUAACUAUCUACGCUUGUGGUUUUCCACCAGGUAUAACCUUCAGUAAUGAAGGUUCGCUGGGGCUCAUUAAACGUCUCUCCUCAGUGAGGACAUCUCUUUGAACAUUUGAUCUCAAAUCAGGUAGGACUACCCGCUGAACUUAAGCAUAUCAAUA
rnacentral:rRNA from 1 species